rnacentral:rRNA from 1 species
CACGGGGUUGCGAGCGUUGUCCGGAAUUACUAGGCGUAAAGGGAGCGUAGGCGGACUUUUAAGUGAGAUGUGAAAUACCCGGGCUCAACUUGGGUGCUGCAUUUCAAACUGUAAGUCUAGAGUGCAGGAGAGGAGAAUGGAAUUCCUAGUGUAGCGGUGAAAUGCGUAGAGAUUAGGAAGAACACCAGUGGCGAAGGCGCUUCUCUGGACUGUAACUGACGCUGAGGCUCGAAAGCGUGGGGAGCAAACAGGAUUAGAUACCCUGGUA